CUACCAUAGAGUUGCUGCAGGCCAUCGCGGUCAUCCUGAGACAGGCGGUACUUGUCAGGGUCGCCCACCGGACCCUGGUAGAAGGGCCUCAUAAUGGAGUUGGGGGCUGAGGAGUGGCCCAGGCCCAGGGCGUGGCCAAACUCAUGGACAGCCACGGCAAACAGCUCAGGCGCUCAGGACUGCCAGGACCCAGAGGAUUCACACGCCAGCCCCGGCUGAAGCCCAGCUCCUCAUCAACCGGUGAGCCGCCUGCCAGCUCCUGCUCCAGCUGCUGAGAGGCCUGAAGAGACCAAGACAGAGACACAGCCCCGCAGCACCACAGGGAGGCCCCAGUUACCCCAUGCGGAUGAGUUUCAUGGCCAUCUCUAACUAAGGACAGGACAUCGAUGUCAUCUGUAACUUCCGGUGCACUGGGGCACACAGCUGCAUCUCCCCAUGCUCACCUCCUGCCUCUUGCUCUGCCCAGUGUGAGGACUCAGCCUGGAUCACCU
ensembl:lncRNA MMP25-AS1 MMP25 antisense RNA 1